GGGCCAGUAGCUCAGCGGUUAGAGCAGCGGACUCAUAAUCCGACGCGCGGAGGUUCGAUCCCUCCCUGGCCCA
rnacentral:tRNA from 1 species